rnacentral:rRNA from 1 species
CCCUUAGAUGUUCUGGGCGGCCCGCGCACUACAUUGGCACUGUCAGCAAGGGUCUGAAACUAAAACUUUUGGGUAUUCUGAGAACCGGUGUCGUGACUGGGAUUGACCCUUGCAAUUAUUGGUUAUGAACGAGGAAUUCCUUGUAAUCGCGGCUUAUCAGCCCGCGUUGAAUGCGUCCCUGCCCUUUGUACACACCGCCCGUCGCACCUACUGAUUGGAUGACUCGGUGAAAAAUUGGGACUAUGAGAGAUACUGCUUAAUUGCGGCAUUUUUUAUGGGAACUUUUUUAAACCUCGUUAUCUAGAAGAAGGUGAAGUCGUAACA